GUGAAUCAAGGCUGGUUUUAGAACCUGAAAGCAACUUGAAGAUGGACCCUGAGCUGGGCCAAAGCCCACAAGUUGUCCAAGGUUAUGAGCUUAAGUGGUCACUGUAGGGCAGGCUGUCGGGGAGUGGCUAGUGCUACAGCAGAGGGAGAAAGCCAGGGACUCUUGUUACAGCAUCUUUCUGACUAUAGCAGAGGGUCGAGGGGGUGACUUGCCCUUUAGAAUCUUGAGAUAUAUCCUUUACAACCACCAUGGCAAUACGUAUGUUUAUCAGAGGUAUGGACCUAAAAUCACAAGUUGGAUUUGGCCAUCAGAAGUGCUUUUAUUCAGCUAGUAGAAUGGUCUUUUUAUUUGCUUUAAAGAUGUGAAUCAACAUGAAAAAAAUGAAGGAAUUCUCUGAAACAGUCCAGAUUCCAUAGAAAAUUCAGAAUAUCUGGCCACAUAGAGCAGCUAGUCUUCCCAUCAAUACCUAUGUGAGCAGAGGUGCAGCUGCCCCCUUCAGAGGGAUCAUGUGUUUAGCGUAAGCCACAGUCCCCACCCUUUCCUAGCAUCCCUGGCGUCGUGUCAGCGGCGCAUUGCUGGUUAUAUUGUGUUUGCAUUGUUUUAUGGACAGGAGAAAAAGACCUCUCUGUUCCCAUGUCUCUACCCAAAGGGGGAAAUGGGAAAUGGUCUUUUCUCACACUCAGUCUUCUUACCCUCUGUGUGACCUCUCUGGGCCCAGCAGCCAUUUGCAUGCAGAGCAUUGAGAUAAACAAUUCCUUCCAUGAAAGGUGGGAUGAAGAGAAGCUUCUGGGAUGGGAUGUCUUUAGACAUGUUCAAGAAACCCCCGGGGGCAGUUUGAGGGGCUUCCACAGAGGCCCGGGGAGCACCUGGGUUAAGGCAGGUACAGCGUAUCAGGGUACAGCUGGUGGAGGGCAGCUGGGGUUUCAUCAGGACCCUGAGCCAAUUGCUUGGAAUCCAAGAGUUCAUUAGGUGAGGCUCAAUUUACAAAUCUUAAAAUGACAGCUUUUCACUUGGCAAUCUCUUGUGUUAAUAAGUCGGUUACGAAUGCAGGGUUAAAUGAAGCAGGCACCCAGCUUGUGCGUGCGUGUGCGGGUGUGUGUGACACACCAUGUGUAGUUUCUUGGAGUCAGGGAAAAUCUGUCAGCCUUUCUAAUACUGAGUUAGUUUUGACAACAGAAUAAGAUGUAUUUUGAACACAUGUACGUCCUGCCUUUUUCAAAGGGGGGCGGCUAAUGAGAGCAGGGCCCCAGAGGAAGGAGGGCGGACGCGGCUGGGUUUCUUGGUGGGGUGUUUGCUCAUUGGGCUUCUUCUGGGGACAAAGGCUUGGGGCAUCUGUGUGCCUCCUGGAUGCUGUGGCUUCUUGGGCUAGUCCUGAGGGCCCGAGAGGGCAGGGGAGCUCCCUAGCUGAGGUGUAUUUUGGACACUGAGCUCUCUUGUGAACGGUGACCACAAAGACAGAUUCCCCCCACCCCUCCCAAGACAGGGUCCUGCAACUGCACGUGAAACGUGAAAAGGGAAGCGAUUUGGUCAGAGGAGCCUGUGAUAUAGAAGACCUCCUUUGAACCAGUUGUAGAAAAAUGCAAAACUAAGCCAAGCAAUUAAAAACAGAUAGAAAUGAGAGAUUUGGAUUUUGCCUAGCAAGCUUUCUGCAGCCACUGUCAGAUCUCUGUGCAAUUUAUCUGGAUUCCGUCAGUGGUGGCCAGACUGGAUUUUGAUAAAGAGCCGCAAAAUCUGUCCCUCUCCAGCUUCUGCGACUUGCCACACACUCCAUUCAAGCUGAAGCGUCCGCACAAUCCUUUGCAUAAUUUGGAGUUAAUCAUUUGUACUUCACAGCCUCUGAGAGGCCUUAGACUUGGGAGGUGGGGACAGAUUUGGCUUUUUAAUCGCCUUGUAUAUUGUGCAGCUCGAGAUAAAUGACACCGACUGUCUGAAAUCUACAUUCUUGCUUCUGAUGCAAAACUGUAAUUAAUUUUGUGCAGUGUUUCAGAAUUGAUCGUGGUCACUUGAAUUUCUAAUUUUUCACUCACUUCAAAGACCCUGAUUUUUUUCUUUCCCCUUUCCUUAAAGGAAUGUGCUCUGGCUACAGGAAUGCUCUGUGAUACGGGUCUACUAAAUGACUCUCUUAUGCCUCUUUUUCAAUAAGGUGAAACAGAGGUCAAGGCCUAUGGCUCCUGUUUAUCUCCCAGCUUGUAUUCAGAUGUAUGUCCUGACUUAUAUAGGAAAUACCAUCCAGACUUAUUAAAUGAUAACUAAAUAGUUCAGUGGCACUCAUGUAUUGUAAAAAGCUCAAAAAGCUUCGUUCACACAUCCUAUUCAGUAUAAGACAAUUAAGCACAAUUUAGGCAAUAAUUACCCUAAUUAACUACACUUAUAAUGUUUGUAUUCAAGAUUAUAGCAACGUUGUAUCACUUCACUAUUUAAAUAUAACAAGGUUCCCUAAUUCCUCUGUAUUGAUAGUUGUUGUAUGUGAUUCUUUGUUUGGUAUAUUUCACUGUAAAAAUAUUUGUCAGUGAAAGAUUGAACAAUAUGAAUGAAUUUGAUUAUGCCAUUGUCAAAAGCCCCAUGCAUCAAAAUUCCUUGUUUUUAAUCACUACUGUAAACCUUGCAGCCGGAGGGCAUAGUUUUAAUUUGGGUGUCUUACUAAUGAAAAGAAAAAAAUAAUUGUUUUGCCAGGAUUUAAUAAUAAGCAAUAAAAUCAGCCAACCAGAUUUUACCUCUGCAUUCAAUCUCUUUUUUAUUAUAAAACAUUUUUGUCCUUUUUUUAGAUUACAGGCGUAGAUACUGAACAUUUUACUAAUAAAUAUUUCAGUUUGCUUAUGGAGGCUAAUGCUGUCAUCUGAAUAUGGAAUUAUAUUUCUUUCAUGCUUCAUUAUCAUUUCAUGGUAGUAAUGACAGUGAGGCGAUGGAAUAUUUACAGGCUUUUCAGAAGACAUUUAUCCAAUACAUUCCCUGAAGGGCACCUAGGCUUAAAGAUACAUUAUCCUUUUGUAAAGCUCUGCCUAGAAUCCCAAUUCCGGAAUCAACCAAUCAGAACUUUUUCCCCCCUCCACACUUAACGCAGUUUGAAGCCUCCCUCCCCUCCCUCCCCAUUGGUGGGCCAGCCAUCCUGCAAAUGAAGGGGAUUACAGUGGAGGGAAAUGGGACCGUGAUCUCAGUUGCCACAGUCAGGGAAAUGGGCACAUAAGCCGUGUCGUCACUGCCGCUGUGGGCCCUGGACACGACUCUGUUCUGGUUUUGGUGAAGGUGAUUCUUCUUCAUUUUAAAUUGUUUUCUAGGUGGUCUCCCAGACUCUGGAGUUGUUUGUCUUAUUGAUGGAUGCUGCUAUUGAGAUUAUAGAUGGUAUUCCGAUUACCCAACUGCAUUUGAUGCAACGUCUGACAAUGAUGGACACAGCUCAUAUAUUUGCAGAAGAGUCUCAUCUAUUUUGGAUAUUAACUUCUUAUCAGAUAGAUGGUUUGCAAGUUUUUUUUAAUCCUGUUGUGUUGAUUGUUUCCUUCCUAUUCAGGAACUUUUUAGUUUGAUGUAGUUGCACUUGUGUAUUUUUGGUUUUUUCGCUUGUGCUUUUGGUAUUAAAUCCAAGAAAUCAUUGCCAAGACCAGUGUCAGGAGGUUUUUUUCCCUCCUUCCUUCAAGGAGUUUUACAGUUUCAGGUCUUAUGUUUUAAGUCUUUCUUCCAUCUGGAGUUGGCUUUUUUGAGAGUCAAAUCUCAUUCUUUUUUAUGUGAAUAUACAAUUUUUCCCACUAUUCGUUGAAGAGAAAUCCUUUCUCCAUUCUGUGUUCUUGGCUUCUUUGUUGAAGAUCAGACAACUGUAUAUGCAUGAGUUUAUUUCUGGGUUCUCUAUUCUGUUCCAUUGGCCCAUGUAUCUGUUUUUAAUGCCAAUACCUACUGUUUUAAUUAUUGCAGCUUUGCAAUG